GGAGUCUGGGCCGUGUCUCAGUCCCAAUGUGGCCGUUCAACCUCUCAGUCCGGCUACUGAUCGUCGCCUUGGUGAGCCGUUACCUCACCAACUAGCUAAUCAGACGCGAGCCCAUCUCUGAGUGAUAAAUCUUUGGUAGCAAAAUCAUGCGGUUUCGCUACAUUAUGAGGUAUUACCAUCCGUUUCCAGAAGCUAUCCCUCUCUCAGAGGCAGGUUGCUCACGUGUUACUCACCCGUCCGCCACUAAGAUUACAAAGCAAGCUUAGUAAUCUCCGUUCGACUUGCAUGUGUUAGGCGUGCCGCCAGCGUUCGUC
rnacentral:rRNA from 1 species